UGGGGAAUAUUGCGCAAUGGGCGAAAGCCUGACGCAGCGACGCCGCGUGGAGGAUGAAGGUCUUCGGAUUGUAAACUUCUGUUAAGUGGGAAAAAAGACUGGUCUUUAAUAGAGAUCGGGGAUGAUUGUACCAUUAGAGAAAGCACUGGCUAACUUCGUGCCAGCAGCCGCGGUAAUACGAAGGGUGCAAGCGUUAUUCGGAAUCACUAGGGCGUAAAGGGUGUGUAGGUGGUGUGCAAAGUCUAUCGUUAAAUUCCUCGGCCUAACUGAGGACUCGCGAUGGAUACUUGCAUGCUGGAGGGUGGAAGAGAGGAGUGGAAUUCUCGGAGUAGCGGUAAAAUGCGUAGAUCUCGAGAGGAACACCGAUGGCGAAGGCAGCUCCUUGGUCCAUACCUGACACUGAAACACGAAAGCGUGGGGAGCAAACAGG
rnacentral:rRNA from 1 species